GUGCCCGGCGGCUCUAGAGUGUCUCCCGUGUGGGAGACUCCGCGCCCUCUCGGCGCAGUCUGUUCCCGUGCUCAGUCACCUGCGCAGUAAAAGUUCUUCCUCGCUGUUCAGGUGGAACUUGAUCCGUUUCUGCCUGUUGCCGCUUGUCCCUCUGCCUGGCGCUCCUGAGAGGAGCCUGGCUCCACCCUUCUCUUUCAGACGCUGGUGGGCACCGAUGGGCUCCUCUCUUCUCGAGGAGCUCCAUGUCUCUGUUGUCCUGAGGAGCCCAGAACUGGACUCAGCACGGCAGGUGUGUCCUCACCAGGGCUGAGUACAGGGGCAGGAUCACCUUCCAUGACCUGCUGGCAGUGUUCUUCCCAAUGCCCCCCAGGAUACCAUUGGCAUUCUUGGUCACGAGGACGCACUGCUGGCUCAUGGACAGCUUGUUGUCCCCAGGACCCCCAGGCCCUUCUCUGCAGAGCUGCUCCCCAGCAGGUCAGCCCCAGGCCUGGAUCAGACACACAGGAGCACUGAAGGCGCCCAGCGUGAAUAACAAACACAGUGUUUGUUAUUCCUCCAUCUAUAGUCAAUCAGCAAAAUGAAUGUUGGCCUUCUCUGGUCUCCAUUAGGAACUGUGAGGGGGCACAUACCAUGUGUAAGACACAACUACAGUUAUUUUAACAGUGCUGUGUGCUCCCCAGCUUUGUUGUGGACCAGAGGUUUAGCAAAUAGGUAACACAUUUCUCCGUGACAGAAGGUGUACAUGUAGCAGCAUUGGGGAGGCACAGAGAAGGGAUUGGCCCGAUGCAGGCUGAUACGUGUGCAAGCCCAAAACCCAGGUGGGGUUCUCAGCUCUCAAAAUAAGGUUCGGUAGCUGUAGUUGGAGUACUGUUAUGGUAAAAUAUGCUGGGCUUCAUCUUGUUCAUACAUCUUCUAUGGCUUGUAUGGUAAUGGUUAUAAAUGGACUUGGUAUUUAUUCUUGACUCUUCCUAUACUUGUGUCGAUUAAAAUAUUUAAUACUGAAAAUAUUUGAUGAUAUUCCACACUAAAUAGUUCACAUCUUCUUUAGUCAUCAGUUUUAACAAGCAUGUGAAAGCCUGGUUAAGAAAAUAUAAAAUAAUUCAUUUAAUCCAUUGAUUCAGCUUGUCCUUGGAGAUAUAACCAUAUUUAUUCCAACAAUAAAUUCCAACCAUAAAUUCCAAGAGCUGUUGAUUUCAAGAAUUUUAGAACCAAUGCAUUAGAAAAUGCAUCUUUUUGCAUUCUUGUUUCAGUGACUCAGGUUACCUGGUAUAAUGCAUCCUAUUUUAGAGGAAAAAUCUGAUCAGUUUUUCAAAGCUGUGCCUGCUAGAGCCCUGCCUGGUGGUAGAUGUUUUUGCUGUCCUGGGACUGCACAGCUUUAUAAAAUUUUUUUAUUAAGGCAUUGAUUUUAAAAAAUUACAAGAUUUUGUAAAAGAGGAGAAGGUCAGAAAGGCAUUGGGAAUGAGCAGUUUUGCAUUGCAGCGCAUACUAAAAAAUGGGUGUAAGUACAAAAUGAGACUAUUUGUAAUACUGAAAUUUCAGUUACAUCUCAGCGAGAUAUUUGGUAUUAAACCUUGUGUCAUGGGUCCUUAAGUGGUUCUGCUUUUCAUCAGCUCACAUGACACUGCUUAUUAUUUUUUCUUUUGAACAAAAUUACCUACAACAAAUAGUAUGGUUUCUGGGUUUUCAUUUGGUUUCUUUAAAGUUUAUAUUCAAGUACUAGAAUUUUGCUGUAAGUGUUAGCUGUCCUUUCUUUUCUGCUGAACCAUGUAAAAAAGUCUACUUUGUAAAGGCAGAUGUAAAACCUGUGCAUGUUAGUGUGGUGGCAGCCAAAUGAGCGUUGCAAACUUAAAUCUGGGUGGCACAGUUGAAGCAUUUUAUUCUAAGAUAUUUGUAGACAAAACAUACAACAUCAGAAAGCAGUAACGUGUUGCUGGGUACCAGGAAGUUGUGUUUAAUUAUUACUUUAGUUGGCUGCAAUUGAAAUAACUUACUCCCUUUCCUAAUAGUGAAGAUCUCAGUGCAAGCCAAGCCAUUUUAAUGAUGGACCGAAGACUGAUUUUAAUGAGGGAAUAAAGUGUUUAAGGCUUUAGCAGAGAAUUAGGGAGGAAGGCUAUAACAGGAAAAUAAGGAAGAGCAUUGCAACUUGCUAAUUCCUGGUACAGUAGCAAGGGGCGCAUGAUCUGAGCAAAACAGCAGGAGAAGAAAAUCACUGGUAUUUCAGUAUUAUGUUGAAUAUGAGUCUUAAAGGACAAUAGCCCUGUGAGGUUUCUGCAUGGGACUGCUAGUUAGUGUAGUACAAUAUAGUUAAGCAGCUCAGAGAAAGGAAUUGCAAAUUUGUACAGUGAUACCAGUCCCAAUACCAAUGAUACCAGUCAAUGUGCAAAACAAUAAGGAGAUGCAUAUUAAGUUCUGUUUUGUGAUCUCAAAAUAUAAGCUAGUAGGCAGAUGCAUAACUUCAGUCAGUAUGAUUUGCAUAUUCUCCAGGGUACAUUUACUUCUUCCUUGUCUGUUACCUGUUAAACUAUUCCUAUAUUAAGUUAUUUUUAUUUUCUUAUCUGUACUUGCAUUGACAAUUUCUCCUGACAGCAAGACUUUAUUUUUCUUUGAAGAAUGCAGAUUAUUCACAUGUCAUUUAAGAGAAAGAAGAUCUUACUUCAAUCAGUGCACCUGCUUUUUAACACUGCUACUUUUUAUGGCUUAUGUUCUCAAUAUGCUGUUAUAAUCUGAAACUUAGUGAAACUAGGGACAUUAGAAAAAAGAUACGGUUUACAAUCAGAAUUUAAAUGUUAGACCUCAUCUAGCAAGUUGCCUUGUUGUACGUAAGAAAAUUAUAUCAGAAAGGGAAAAUUUUGUGAGUGUUGUUUCUGCUAGAGUUUUGUUCACUGUGAAGGUGAGUAAACAUUUCUGUUUGAGAAACUCAGAUGUGAAUUUGGCCAGUAGAAUUUGUAUUUCUCCAGAAGAAUUUGCACAGACAAGUGGAAAAAGAGGAUAUGGUUUCACAUAGACUGGUUUUCUUCUUUUAGACUCAAGUGUUAUAUAAAAAAAGAACAAAAGGCUGCAAAGUGAUCUAAGUUCCCUUUCUUCUGCUUCACCAACACAAAACUGAAACUUAAACCUAGGAGUAACUUUAAAUUUAUUUUUUAAGGGAGUUCAGUAUUUCAUUGUCAAUCUCUUUAAAAUAUUUAUAGAAAUAAUGGAGAAUUACACUCAUUUUUCUGAGGUUUAGUCUACAAAAUUUCAUCAAUUUCACAUAACAUUUUUUGUUUAAAGCACUUUUGACUAAAUUACUUAGAUUUUACUGGAUACUGCUGAGGUCUGUGACAGAAAAACCACUGACCUUGAUGGUGUGUCAGCUUCCUUUAAGGAAGGAGUGUCUAGCAGCACUGGCUACAUUGCAUUCUUCUGAUGCAGUAGGAAGGUGGAAUAUGAGCAAAUAUUAAAAGGCAUUAUGUGUUUCUGGCAGGUUGUGAACUGAGAUCAUCACAGUUUUUCUCAUGGUGUGAACCUCCAGAUAUUUGAUGAGGUCAUCAAAUCACAUUUAUUCAUUAACGAAUUCACCAUACCACUGGUGGUUUUUUUGCCAAGGAUGCAGACUUAACGUUAUAAAAGAUUUGGAGAAAACUCCCAUGGAUCUAACUCAAUUGCUGAUCAAUCAGCAAUGGUACAUCCUCUACAAAUAAGCAGGUGAUAAGCAGGGCUUUGUUGGGAUACAGGCCAUGCUUGUGGUAGGAUAUGAAGUUGUGUUUAGCAAUAUUCAUGGUGCCUUGAUACUCAAUCAUGCAAUAGCAAUCCUCACAGGGAUACCACUGCCAGUAAAGAAGAAAAACGACUUUUGGAAAUGUGUGCCUUACAACAAAAAAAAAUUCCAUGUAGACAUGUCACCUACCUUUCUUUAAUCCCAGCCUGCAAACUCCUUCAAAACAAUUUGCAGCAGUAUCCAUUCUUCCCAGGCACCUAUACAGAACCUGUGCUGACAUUACCACCAGCUGUGCCUGCAUGUCCUUAGCCUGCCCAAUUACGGCAUCCAACCAGCCAUGGACCCAACACCUCCCAGUCAGGUGCAGGAGGAAGACCAAGUUACGGUGAGAGCAUAUGAAACCCAAGAAAAAUUGCAGGAAAGAAUAGGUUAUGACUGAUUCUAGGGCUGAGGUGGUGAAGCAAUGAUUAGGACUACCAUUUAGGAUGCAUGUGUGUGUGACAGGAGGAUGGGAAUAAGGAAGGGGAAUACAAGCAUGGUUUCCACUGUGUCUAAUACAACACCUAAUAGCAGCUACUGACACCCAAGAAAGCUAGGUUUGGAAAAUGACAAUCUGUUCUGAAUUGCACUGUUUUAAUUAAUUUUGAUUUUUUGAUAUCUUCACUGGAACCUGUUUUGAUGAUGUUUUUUUAAUCCUCUGACUGGAAAGAUCUUGUUCUACUUCAUGUUAUAAAGGAGUGCUUAGACCUCAUUAUCUUGUAUUGGUAGGUUGGUUUGUUGCAGGAAUUCAAACAAUAGUGUUUGUUUAGCACAAAACUGGAGCACUUACUCAUACUGACAAUAUUGAAUUGGAUAACAUAGCUUAAAAAAAGCACUUCAGCAGCUUCUCAUCUGGUAGUGCUCCAAUGAGUUAGAGCCCUGUAAACUUUCUUAAUAAAAGUCCAUACUUUUUUCUUCCUUUUUUUUCCCCUUCAAAAAAGGCAGUGUAACUGCUGACAUAAUAGAUGCAAUGAGUAUUUGAUGAGUUUUGCUGCUUCUGUGCCAAAGUAGGGUUCUGAUAAUUCAGUUCACCAAAAAGAUGAGAACUUUAAAUUAUCUAGGUGUUUGUUCUAUAUCUGCUGAAUAAAUAUGCUGGUUUUGGCUGGUUUAGCCGGGUUUUGGUAGAAUAAAUUUUCUUCAUGAUACUUGGUAUGGGGCUGUGUUUUGGAUUUGUGCUGGAAGAAGUGUUGAUAACACAGAGACAUUCUUGUUAUUGCUGAGCUGCACUUGCAUAGCAUCAAGGCCUUUUCUGCCUCUCACCCCAAACCACUAGUGAGGAGGCUGCAGGGGCACAUGGACUUGUGAGGGGACACAGCCAGGACAGCUGACUACAGGAAUAUCCCAGACCACAUGGCAUCAUGUUCAGCAUAGAAGGCUGGAGGGAAGAAGAAGGGCAGCCUUUCGGACUGAUGAAAUUUGCCUUCCCAAGUCACAUUACCCAUGCUGAAGCCCUGCUUUCCUGGAGAUGGCUGAACAGCCACCUGCCCAUGGGACACUGACUGAAUUCCUUGUUUUGCUUUGCUUGUGUGCACAACCUUUGUUUUCCUUAUUAAACCAGCUUUGUCUAGA